rnacentral:rRNA from 11 species
AGGUAGAGAAUACCAAGGCGCUUGAGAGAACUAUGUUGAAGGAACUCGGCAAAUUGCACGCGUAACUUCGGGAUAAGCGUGACCAUGUAGUAGGCAACUAUUAUGUGGUGUCACAAAAGAGGGGGUGGCGACUGUUUACUAAAAACACAGGGCUCUGCGAAGUCGCAAGACGACGUAUAGGGACUGACGCCUGCCCGGUGCUGGAAGGUUAAGAGGAGAUGUCAUUCCUUCGGGGAGAAGCAUUGAAUUGAAGCCCCAGUAAACGGCGGCCG